AAAGACUGACGCUCAGGCACGAAAGCCAGGGGAGCAAACGGGAUUAGAUACCCCGGUAGUCCUGGCCCUAAACGGUGUUCACUUGGUGUGCGGGGAGUCGACCCCCUGCGUGCCGUAGCUAACGCGAUAAGUGAACCGCCUGGGAAGUACGGUCGCAAGAUUAAAACUCAAAGAAAUUGACGGGGGCCCGCACAAGCGGUGGAGCAUGUGGCUUAAUUCGAUGCAACGCGAAGAACCUUACCUGGCCUUGACGUGUUGGUGGUAGAAGCCUGAAAGGGUGACGACCUAUCGCAAGAUAGGAGCCAGCACAGGUGCUGCAUGGUUGUCGUCAGCUCGUGUCGUGAGAUGUUGGUUUAAGUACCGCAACGAGCGCAACCCCUGUGUUUAGUUACUCCGCAAGGAGGUCUCUAAACAGACUGCCUCGCUUUAAACGAGGAGGAAGGUGGGGAUGACGUCAAAUCAGUAUGGCCCUUACGGCCAGGGCUGCACACGUGCUACAAUGCGCAGUACAGAGGGUUGCGAA
rnacentral:rRNA from 1 species